rnacentral:rRNA from 1 species
UACGUAGGGUGCAAGCGUUGUCCGGAAUUAUUGGGCGUAAAGAGCUCGUAGGCGGUCUGUCGCGUCGGCUGUGAAAACUCGGGGGCUCAACCCCGAGCCUGCAGUCGAUACGGGGCAGACUAGAGUGCUGUAGGGGGAGACUGGAAUUCCUGGUGUAGCGGUGAAAAUGCGCAGAUAUCAGGAGGAACACCGGUGGCGAAGGCGG